rnacentral:rRNA from 1 species
AUACGUAGGGGGCUAGCGUUAUCCGGAAUUACUGGGCGUAAAGGGUGCGUAGGUGGUUUCUUAAGUCAGAAGUGAAAGGCUACGGCUCAACCGUAGUAAGCUUUUGAAACUAAGAGACUUGAGUGCAGGAGAGGAGAGUAGAAUUCCUAGUGUAGCGGUGAAAUGCGUAGAUAUUAGGAGGAAUACCAGUUGCGAAGGCGGCUCUCUGGACUGUAACUGACACUGAGGCACGAAAGCGUGGGGAGCAAACAGGAUUAGAUACCCUGGUAGUCCACGCCGUAAACGAUGAGUACUAGCUGUCGGGGGUUACCCCCCUCGGUGGCGCAGCUAACGCAUUAAGUACUCCGCCUGGGAAGUACGCUCGCAAGAGUGAAACUCAAAUGAAUUGGCGGGG